rnacentral:lncRNA from 1 species
CGCGUUCCACGGCGCCCUGGCAGCUCGCAAACUCCUCUGCUCGUCCAUUGCUACCCACCGGCGCUUCGUCCAUGGCCACCCUCCUCAGUUUGGCUCUGUCGGAUGUGGCCGGGUUACCUUGACGUUUGACCUGCUGGACGCAUCUUGGCACAUGGGGCUGGAGCUGCUGGCUGCAUCUUGGCACAUGUUGUUCUGUCAACACUGAAGAUGAUCAUCAAAAGCCAAAAGGAAGACAGAUGAGCCAGCAAAAAGAUCAGCAGAUCUCCAACUCAAAUAUGCUGUUGUGCAUGCCUCUGUCAUGUAGUUUAGGAUGGUUGAUGCUUUGUACAUUUUUCUUCAGAAAUUUCUAAGUUAAGAUAGGAUAGUUGAUGCAGAUUGUGGAGCAAAUGUAUUGUAUAAAUGAAUUUGAUGUACACUAUGACUAAAAGCUCCUGGUAUUUGUAUAAAAGCUCCUGGUAUUUGAAGUUCCUUGUGCAUAAAAGCUCUUGGUAUUUGAAGCUCUUGUGAUAAAGUUUUUUUUUUAAUAUCCAAUAAUACAAUCUGAAAUGUGUAUUGCUGCCUACUUUGUUGAAUAAAGAGAUAAACAGAAUCAUG